CUGCCAGCUGGGCUGGGUUCCUGCUCUCACUGGGGUGAUAGCACAGCUUUAAUGAAGAAAUAGGGAAAUAGCCUUAAUCCGUGGUACUAGGAGUGGUUGGGAUUGGCAAGUAAUGCAUUAAAAUGAAGAAUUUUGUGUCAGGACACAGCCUAUUUUGCUUUUGAAGUGCUUCCAGAUUGUACCUAAAGCUGAGUCUAGAUGUGUGAGAGAGGAGAGUAUAACAUUACCUGCUCUGCUGAAGUUGGAGGUGGGGUGCUGAGUGUCAAAGGCUUACCCUGGACAUCUGCACAGGGGCUCUGGCUUCUUCACCUGGCUUGCUGCUGUUCCAGCUGAAUGGUCCUGGAUGGUGCCGUUUGCGGGAAGCCCCCUGCGAGAGUUCCGAUCCUGCAGAGAGCCCCGGGUUCCAUCCCAUCCCAUCCCAUCCCAUCCCAUCCCAUCCCAUCCCAUCCCAUCCCAUCCCACCGGGCUGAACAGCCCCGGAUCCUCGCUCUGAGGAGUGCCCAUCCUCUGCGAUCGGCAUCAGAGGCACGCCGAACUCGUGCAGUAAAUGGGCUCAUUAGCCGAGCUGCAGAUGGACUUAGAUAAUAGGAAUGGAGUAAUAGUGAAAAUUAGUUUGGAGGGAAACAUCAAAUCGAAAAGCUCUGACAAAACUCCGCUUUGCUCUAGUUCAGCCGAGGUACUGUCAGACACAAAUAUUCAAUUCUAUGUGGCUUGAAAUUGAGGUUUUAUUUUGUUACUUGCUAAUUUGCUUCUUGUACAAUCUUGCAAGUUUUUUUGAUCUCAUUUAAAAGGGUAAAAUACUUCGUUCAACUUUUUAGAAGGUGUCCUUCGGCUUCUUACACCAGGGACACACAAUCAUUUAAUUUCUGGUUUAUGUACACUGAGGAAAGUAUGUGUAAUACCUUCUUGAUUAAAAUAAAAUAAAAUAAAACUAAAGAGAUCAGGCAGAUUUUUGUUUCUUUCAAAGACAGCAAUUUUACCCGCAGAGAUGAACUGGGAGCUGAAUUUAGUCCAGAAGCAGUGGGAAAAGUCUUCAGGAGAAAAGAAAAAGUAUCGAAUAUUUUAGGCUAAUGUCACCCUCUGUUGAACUCUAGCAAGUGGCUCUGAAGGCAAAGAGCAGUCGGAGUUGGUGUGCCACAAGUGGGAAGAGGAUUUCCCUGUACCUUCAUUUAACCUAUUAAAAGAAUUCCCCACUAUUGUUCGGCUACGUGGGUGUCUCCGUCUUUGUAGGCUACGUGCGGGCAUAUGUGUGGACUGAGAAUAGGCGCUUAGAGAUCCUCGCCUUAAAACAUUCCUUGGAGUUCACACAGACCGCUAGAUUUUUAUCUGCGUGUCCAGUCGGCUGCUGACACUACCUGUAAAUACGACAAAGACUUUGCAUUUCACAGCCCUUCGGCGGCUCUCGCCUCAUAAAAGUCAAGGGUUCAUGUUAGAAGUUUGGGGUUUGGGGUUUAAAAAAAAAAAAACCCAAACCCAAAAGCUUUCCCCCCCGUCUUUUUAAAAUCUCUUCUUGCGCUUUGUAUUUUUGAGGAGAGCAUUCCAGGCGCUACGGGAGCGGAGAAGCAAGUGGGCAGGGAGAGGGGAGAGGGAAAUGACCCAGCCAGGCUGCAUCUGCCUGAGAGCACCCGCGGCUCGGGCACGGGCAAAGCUUCGGGAACUUAGAACAGCAACGUCUGGGCUUCCUCUAAACCGAGACUAACGCUGGGCCGGGGUAAACUCCC